rnacentral:rRNA from 1 species
AUGAACGCUGGCGGCGUGCCUAAUACAUGCAAGUCGAGCGAACGGACGAGAAGCUUGCUUCUCUGAUGUUAGCGGCGGACGGGUAAGUAACACGUGGAUAACCUACCUAUAAGACUGGGAUAACUUCGGGAAACCGGAGCUAAUACCGGAUAAUAUUUUGAACCGCAUGGUUCAAAAGUGAAAGACGGUCUUGCUGUCACUUAUAGAUGGAUCCGCGCUGCAUUAGCUAGUUGGUAAGGUAACGGCUUACCAAGGCAACGAUGCAUAGCCGACCUGAGAGGGUGAUCGGCCACACUGGAACUGAGACACGGUCCAGACUCCUACGGGAGGCAGCAGUAGGGAAUCUUCCGCAAUGGGCGAAAGCCUGACGGAGCAACGCCGCGUGAGUGAUGAAGGUCUUCGGAUCGUAAAACUCUGUUAUUAGGGAAGAACAUAUGUGUAAGUAACUGUGCACAUCUUGACGGUACCUAAUCAGAAAGCCACGGCUAACUACGU